rnacentral:rRNA from 1 species
UGAAGGAACUAGAAAAAAGGGAGAAAAAAAAUCGAAAGCAAGAAAGAGGAGAGGGAGGGGAAGCGACGGGCGCGUGGAGCUGAAAUCAGGCGAAGAUACCAGCUGGCUGCAACUGUUUAUUAAAAACACAGCACUGUGCAAACACGAAAGUGGACGUAUACGGAGUGACGCCUGCCCGGUGCCGGAAGGUUAAUUGAUGGGGUUAGCGGUAACGCGAAGCUCUUGAUCGAAGCCCCGGU